GUGACCAACCGCUUGUCUACUUAUCUCUCCCUAUUUCUCUCUCAUAAUCAGAGAGCCGUAGGAACCAAACCCGUAAGCGCAAACAACCUCUCGAAAUCUCUUCCUCUCGUCUCAUCUCCUCAUAUAUCUUUCUCUCUUUAAAUCAAAACCUAUAAAAGAAACCUGUUUUCGAAUUCUUCCCUCUAAUUUACCCUUCAAUUUCUUAUCUGCUUUUCAAUUUUACGAUAAUUUUCGACUUCGAUCGGGCUAAUUCAAACCCUAGAUUGUAUCUUUGGUCAAAGACUGAACUUUGUUUGUAUAGAUCUGAGUUUUGAUUCAUCUAUUUGGUUUAAAAGGAACCCCAAAUCGUUGAUAUUUUAAAAAGAUAAUUGUCCGGUUGAAUUAGGGUGAGAUCGAGGUAUCUAGCUGUGAGAAUAUUGUAAAAGGGGGGAUUGUUGAGGUGGUGAGGAACAAAAGGGUAGAAAAUGGCAGAGCAAGGAGGCUUGGAAGGUAGCCAGCCUGUGGAUCUUUCCAAGCACCCUUCUGGCAUUGUUCCUACUCUUCAGAACAUUGUAUCAACAGUGAACUUAGAUUGUAAGCUGGAUCUUAAGCAAAUUGCAUUGCAAGCACGUAAUGCAGAAUACAACCCAAAGCGUUUUGCUGCCGUUAUUAUGAGAAUUAGGGAACCAAAAACUACUGCAUUGAUUUUUGCCUCUGGGAAGAUGGUGUGUACGGGUGCAAAAAGUGAGCAGCAGUCAAAAUUGGCAGCAAGGAAGUAUGCUCGAAUUAUCCAAAAGCUUGGGUUUCCUGCCAAGUUUAAGGUAUUAAUGUUCUUUGUCGUUCCCCACUAUUUUCUGUCUCUAUGCACAUGCAUGCAUGUGGCGUGAGAAUACACACUAACACAUAUUACUACUUAUCGCUGUUCUAUCUUGACCGGUUUAUUGCCUUUAAACUUAUCCCCUUUGUUCACAUAUUCUUGUGGAAAUUGCCAGGAUUUCAAGAUUCAGAAUAUUGUUGGUUCCUGUGAUGUGAAGUUCCCUAUCAGACUUGAAGGUCUGGCAUACUCUCAUGGUGCUUUCUCAAGUGUAAGUAACAACCGUUACCUGUCAAGCUUAAUAUACUAGUUGGUACCAUGAGGUUGCUUGGUUGAAAGUCUUUCAUUAAUUACCGCCAUUAUUACUCUGUGCAGUAUGAACCUGAGCUCUUUCCAGGCCUAAUUUAUCGCAUGAAACAGCCGAAGAUUGUGUUGCUUAUUUUUGUUUCAGGAAAAAUUGUGAUCACAGGAGCCAAAGUGAAUUCAGCAGCUAUUGUCCAUCUAUGAUAUGAUGCUGCUGUUCAUAGUUGUACUUUGGUAAUUUUAAUUGUUUUUUUUCUUGUUUCACAUAUUUAGGUAAGGGAUGAGACAUACACAGCCUUUGAGAAUAUAUACCCGGUGCUAACUGAGUUCAGGAAGGUCCAACAAUGAUAUACAUUUGCGUUGGUGGGAUGAGUGCAGCUGUGGAUGGCUAUGGAUGAGGUGCUUUCAAGCGUGCAUAUAUAAAGGGGUGGUUUGGCAGCUAUAGCUUAUAAGCUGUUGGUCUGUUCCUGUGGUCUUUAAUCCUGUGGAUAAGUUGGGGGUUUGUAUCCCUCGCCAAGUGGGAAUAGAUGACAGGGUUAACGAGCUCUGUAAUUUGUAAUUAGCGAUUGGAUUAGGAGUUUGUUAGGGGAGGAGAAGAUGCUAAAGAAAUAUGUUUUUGUUUUAAUCUCAUGUGGACUAUUCUUGGACAGGUAAUGUGACAGACGUGGUUUCAAUUUUGGCUGGAAACAUGUGCCUUAUUUAUGGAUUGUUUUUCCAUUUAAGGUCCUGUAUACAGUGUAUUUUAGGAGGGAAAAAGCUAGUAUGAACACAAGGAUGGCAACUCUGUCCUGCAUCCUAAUAACUGUUUUUGACUCUUCUUUGACCUUUGUAUCUUGAUAUGGAGUGGAUGGGGAUAGGACCUCUUCCUCGUCCCGAACUUCUACAUCAAAAAAAA
rnacentral:misc_RNA from 1 species